UUUUAAAACAACUUGAAUUUUUAGAAAGUGAUAAUUUCUGGGCUUAAGGAGUUUGUUUGCAAUAUUAUGCUAGCCUUAUCGAUUAGAAUGUACAGAAAGAUCAUGUUAUACUUCUUUGGGGAAAAUUCUAAUAUAGAGAUCCAAAGUCUGUGUCGGUAAGGCCAGGUCCAGCUACUGCUAAUCUUUGUAUGACCUGCAAGAAUGUGCUUUACAUCUGUGUAUGUGUGUGUUUCUGUGCACGUGUGUGCAUGUACAUGGGGGGCUGAGAGGACAACUUCCAAUGUUGGGCCUCAAGAGCUGUCCACCUUUAUUUUGAGGCAUGGUCUCUCACUGGCCUGGAACUCACCCAGUAGAAUGGGUUGGCUCAUCAGCAAGUUCCAGGAAUUCACUUUAAAAAGUGAAUAUUAGAGACCUCAAUUCUCUCCUUACACUUGCAGGGCAAGCAUUUUACCAACUGAGCCACCUCUCCAUCCCCUGCUUCUUACAGUUCAUGGUUGAGAAAAAUAAAAAUAUUACUUAAUGAUAUUACUUAACGGAGCUAUUGAAUAUUAUCUUACAUGUUACAUAAAAUGCAAACUUUAGUUCAUAUAAAUAAAGUAAUAUUGAAGCAAAGCAUGUAUAUAUUACAAGGUGGAACCCAUACCCAACAUUGCUUGAGUAACGAAGAACCAGAAACUACAUAGCCCAGAGACCUAAGAUAAAACCAAUUACUACUGGUCAAAAGAAGUAAUUAUAAAAUGACUCCUGAUGAUAUUCUGCCCCCCCCCACACACAUGUAUUUAUUUGUAUUAUAUUUGUGUAUAUUAUAUUUUGUUUUGUUAUAUUAUUAUCUCUUAGAAGCCUGUUCCUUUAUAGUAAGAGACAGAACGGGAAUGGAUCCAGAUGAGAGGGGAGGUGGAGAGGAAUUGAAAGGAACAGACAGAAAGGAAACCAUAAUCAGGAUAUAUCAUGUGAAAAAUGAAUCUAUUUUAAAUAAAAGGAAAAAUCAAUUAAGUAGCUGCAUCUCAGAUUGUACACAAGCUAUGAAGCUUAAGGUCUUUUCUGUCUGGCUCUCACAAAAGGAGUCUACUGCUGUGUGCUAAUAUAGAAAACUACAGAGACAGAGACAGAGACAGAGAGAGACAGAAUUAGCAAUAUCCAACAUAGAAUCAGGUUUUAUUCAAAAAUUCAGAUACUCAUAGAAACCAGAUUAACAGCUUGAUUAAUUAAUUAAUAAAAGUAAUAGAAAUUCUAGGAGGUGGGGCCUAUUGGAAGGAUGUUAGACCAUUGGGGACAUGCUCUUGGAAGGUUUGGAACACUGGUCUCUUCUUUCUUCUGCCUUCCAGCCUCCAUGAGGUGAACAGCUUGGCUCUUCCCUGUGAUCCUGGCCAUAAUGUUCCACCUCAGACAGGCCAAAAGCUUCAGGCCAAGCAACAUGGAAACCUCUGCAGCCAUGAGCCAAAUCAAACCAGUCAUCGUGUUAAGUUGAUUGCACUCAGGCACUGGUCGCAGGGAUAGAAAGAUGACUAACACAUGAUGUUCGGCAGUUGGUGAAUAUAAGUUAAGGAAGAGAGAAGUAGGUAUUCCCAUGACUCUUUCUGGGUAGAACGACUGUAGACAUGUGUGGAGCCUUAGGACCCUUUUCCAUAAAUGUUCUUGUGUUCUUUGAGCAGCAGAAAGCAUUUGUGUUUCCCUCUCCAUACUUAGCCAAGGCCUUUGUAAGUUCACAACUUGAACCUAUGAAGAGAAGUAGCAUCAUUUUGGUUCUGGGUUAUGUGUCCUGAACGUUUAGUGUGGUCUCGGAUUUCCCAUCUUGUCUUACCUGUCUCGUUAUAGGAACAUUUUCCCAGAUAUUUAGAUUCUUUUUUUUUUUCAACUAAAAAUAAUAAAUAAAUAAAUAAAUAAAU
rnacentral:lncRNA from 1 species